rnacentral:lncRNA from 1 species
AGAUUGUCAGAGUCUUUAAUAACCUGAUGUUUUCAUUUGAUCAGAUUCUUCAGCUUCUGUCCCCAUCGGCAUCAUUCUUGGUGCUGCUGCUGGUGUCCUCCUGUUGAUUGUCUCUGGUGUUGCUGGGUAUAAGGUCUAUCAGAAAAAGAAAGGUGAGAGAGACUCAGACUAUUGACUACACUGUAUGUUUUACACAUUUGAGUGCUAAUAUUUCAUCUUUGUGGAUUUCUGUUUUUCAGGCUUUAAACCUGUCAAUGCUUCUGAUGAUGGUUCAAACAGCUCAGCUCAUUCAGAUCCAAAACCAUAAAGAUGUAAGUGUAUUAUUAUUAUUAUUAUUCAUUAGUGCAACUGUUUCACAACUGUUAGUGCAAUUAAAUGUAACAUGUUUUUGCCAUUUUAGGAGACCAGAUGAGUGCAAGAGAUGAAGUAAAAAUGAUGCUUAUCCUGCUGUCCAUCGUGCUUAUAACACACAAACACACACAUUCUCUCACACACACACACACACACGGGAUCAUAGAUUUCAGUGACAGGAUUGAUUUAUAUUAGGGUUCAACAUUAAUUACAUCUGCAAAGUUUUUGUUUCAUCACACUUUAUGCUCAUCUUCUGUUUUUCUUUAAUUGUUUGAACUUGUUCAUUUUAAGAUGACACGUUGAUCUCAGAACUUAAUUGUAAAAUGUAUAUAUUUCUCUUUGCUGACAAAACCAGAGAAAACCAAGAAUGCAAAUAAUUGAUUUGCAAGUUUGAUCAAUUUGCAGGAUUUGUGAUAUCAGUACUGACUGUGAAAAAAGAGAAACUUGUGAAUGUGUUUGUAGUCAGUCAGAGUAUAUUAUAGCAGUCACAUGAGAUGAGACUAUUUCUGUGAGAAAUAAAAUAUGAAAUAAAUCAGGGGAAGGCUAACAAGUCAUGG